rnacentral:rRNA from 1 species
UACGAAGGGGGCUAGCGUUGCUCGGAAUCACUGGGCGUAAAGCGCACGUAGGCGGCUUGGUAUGUCGGGUGUGAAAUCCCCGGGCUCAACCUGGGAACUGCAUCCGAAACUGCCUUGCUAGAGUAUGGGAGAGGGAAGUGGAAUUUCCGGUGUAGCGGUGAAAUGCGUAGAUAUCGGAAGGAACAUCAGUGGCGAAGGCGACUUCCUGGACCAAUACUGACGCUCAGGUGCGAAAGCGUGGGGAGCAAACAGG